rnacentral:misc_RNA from 1 species
AAGUCGUAACAAGGUAUCCGUAGGUGAACCUGCGGAUGGAUCAUUAUUGAAAUCCACAACCACCCCAACUUCGAGUGUUUUGGCGGGUGCCGAAAGGCGCGGCCCGCUGUUAUUAACGCCAAACAUGGACGAAACAGCCAAAUGAGAACAACUUUUAACAACGGAUCUCUUGGCUCUC